rnacentral:rRNA from 1 species
UACAGAGGGUGCGAGCGUUACUCGGAAUUACUGGGCGUAAAGGGCGCGUAGGCGGCCUGCUAAGUCGAACGUGAAAUCCCCGAGCUCAACUCGGGAACUGCGUCCGAUACUGGCAGGCUUGAAUCCGGGAGAGGGAUGCGGAAUUCCAGGUGUAGCGGUGAAAUGCGUAGAUAUCUGGAGGAACACCGGUGGCGAAGGCGGCAUCCUGGACCGGCAUUGACGCUGAGGCGCGAAAGCCAGGGGAGCAAACGGG